rnacentral:rRNA from 11 species
GCCUCCAGUGCCAAAAUACCUUAAAAGCACCAGAUCUCCUCUGAACUUGAAAGUUAGAUGGUGUCAGUUCUGAUUAGUACUUGCAUAGGAGAUUGCCAAUAAAUAUUGGGUACUGUAAACU